rnacentral:antisense_RNA from 1 species
CUUCACCGACCCCAGCCACAACGGCCGUUCGUCAGGCCGGUCCUGCCCGUACGUGGCAAGCAACGCCUGCGCCUC